rnacentral:lncRNA from 1 species
UGCAAAUUCUAAGAUGCAUGUUGAUUUUCCUAUGCAGCCUAAUUUGAAUUACGUUACUAUUCCCUUUUUAGUACGACAUUGAUAAUAAACCUUGGAAGCUCACCAGGACGGGGCUGCGGGAGGUGGGCUGCAGGCUGGACAAUCGACGGGCCAGCAGAGCUCGGUAGCUGCUCUCGGGAUCGUCCUCCAGAGCGACGCUGUCCGGCUGGGAGUCCUCUACAAUCAGACACGGGUUCUCAGAAUGAGGCAAGCUUGAUUCGAGUUCACUUGCUCCAGGGUCCAUGGCGUCAGGCCGCGGGAAAGAGCUGGGCUGUUGUGAGACAGCCAAGCAGCAGCAACAUACCGCAGGCAGACAUGUGAGCCGAGGAUUGUUAGCUACCUGGAACUAGCAAGUGUUAGCAUGUUAGCUAAAGUGUUCGACGCUCCGCCCCAAAACAAAGCACGUAGCUGGUGCACCGAAGCGCCGGAGAAAAUACGAAUGGCAGUCGGCAGAAACAGCACGUCGCUCGGCCAAAGACUUAAGUCAAGAAUGCGACCUGUGUUUAUUUGUGCAUGGAAGAGGAGCCUGGCAGGCCUGGUACCGGCUCUGCUCAGGAGAGCAGCUUUGUGGUGGGGACAUGCCGGCUGCAUGGGGAACAAUGCCAUACCUGAGUGGAUGAGCAACCGUGCAGAUCUCAGUGUUCUGACGGCCAGUUACCUCUCACAGCGGCUACCACCGCAAAGUUCAGUCGUCAUUUUUUUGCUGCCACAAUAAAAAAAAAAGAACCUGCGCAGCUACAAUUCUCCAAAUCUUUCAUCUUUAAUCGCCUGAGACGACGCUGACAGACGCAGAAACGCACCAUGACCGCGCACCGCACCGCUAUUUUCACCGCAACGCAAGAGAAACAAUAAAGAGCUUUACCUUUAAUGGAUCAGUUCUGGAGGUGUUCCAAUUUGGUUUCACCGUCCAGCCGGAUGCAGAAGGAGCGCGUCCAACAUCGCCCGGUCCGUCCUCACCUCUGUUUUACCGAGAGUAAAGGGUGUGGAACGCACACGCGUGGCGCGUCAAGAUGCAAAGGCAUUUUUGUAAUUUACAAUCUCCUACCUCUCUCUCUCUCACACACACACACACAUGCCUGUACACGCUAAGACACGCGCGCGACUGGAUAAAUACUAAUUUAACAUUUUUGGGGGGCAAUUUUUUUUUGAAAAGUGAAAACAAACAAGCAGAAAACAUCAACCCUCAAAUAGUGCAGCACCAAAACGAGUCCGUGGAAGAUCCACAACACCGUGAAGAGAGCUGAACUUAGG